GACCUGCGGAAGGAUCAUUACCGAGUGUAGGGUUCCUAGCGAGCCCAACCUCCCACCCGUGUUUACUGUACCUUAGUUGCUUCGGCGGGCCCGCCAUUCAUGGCCGCCGGGGGCUCUCAGCCCCGGGCCCGCGCCCGCCGGAGACACCACGAACUCUGUCUGAUCUAGUGAAGUCUGAGUUGAUUGUAUCGCAAUCAGUUAAAACUUUCAACAAUGGAUCUCUUGGUUCCGGCAUCGAUGAAGAACGCAGCGAAAUGCGAUAACUAGUGUGAAUUGCAGAAUUCCGUGAAUCAUCGAGUCUUUGAACGCACAUUGCGCCCCCUGGUAUUCCGGGGGGCAUGCCUGUCCGAGCGUCAUUGCUGCCCAUCAAGCACGGCUUGUGUGUUGGGUCGUCGUCCCCUCUCCGGGGGGGACGGGCCCCAAAGGCAGCGGCGGCACCGCGUCCGAUCCUCGAGCGUAUGGGGCUUUGUCACCCGCUCUGUAGGCCCGGCCGGCGCUUGCCGAACGCAAAUCAAUCUUUUUCCAGGUUGACCUCGGAUCAGGUAGGGAUACCCGCUGAACUUAAGCAUAUCAAUAA
rnacentral:rRNA from 1 species